AUCUAAUGUGCUUGUCUAGUGAUGGUUCUGUACUGUUGCUGCUCGUUUGGAAAACUUAGAAGAUAACAAAUAAUAGAUACAAAUGACGAACUUACUCACGAUACACUUCUGCCAGUCCUCAACCAGGCCCUGCGUGUUCUUCAGCUCCCCCUCCAGCUUCAUCUUCUCGUUGCCCAGAUCAUCAAGCUGUCUGCGCAGGUUGGAGAUGUAGGCCUCAAACAUGGCGUCGAUGUUGGAGCGGGUGGUGGUCUGGUCCUGCAGGAGGCUCCACUUGGUCUCCAGCAUCUUGUUCUGCUGCUCCAGGAAACGCACCUGCAGGGACAAAAGGGAAAUGGUCAGUGUCAUUGACUGAAACUUGUGAAUGACAGGAUGAAGGAAGGAAGGGAUGGCCGAGUGAGAGAGAAAGGAAGGGUGGAUGGAUGGAAGGCACAACCAAACAAAUGAAUGAAUGGUUGGAUUAAUUAAUGUAUGAAUUAAUGUGCAUAUAAUAUAAAUGAAUGGAUGGAGCAAACGUGUGAAUAUAUGUACAGACUAAAGAAUGGCCAACAAACAAAUGUGUCAUUGAAGCAGAGUACCGUGUUUCAGCACGAUGUGGCACUCUUUCUCAAUCAAAGUUACACAUAUGAUUCAUGUUGUUCCAAGUGUUUUUUGACCUCAUGCCCCUGGGUGGGGUUCCACUCAAACACAAGCAUGGAGGAGAGAACAGAGGAGGUGUGUAUCGCUAAGGUGUGGAGGAGGGGUCGAGGAGUGGUCAAAUGUUAAUCUGACGGUAAACAUAACUGAUUUAUGACAGUUAUGUUUUAUGACUGAUUUAUGACAGUUGUGUUUUUACGACUGCUUUAUGACAGUUAGAAAUUGAAUUAUUAGAUUCUUUACAAAUAAGGGACGCUUGAAGCAUGUAAUCACUGUAGUUGACAGUUGAUAAGCCAUGCAGGAAUGGGCUGAUUUUUCUGACAGUGAACCUGCCAUGUCCUGUUUGAGUGUGUGGGCCACAAUGGCACAUUGAGCAGAGAGGAUCCUGUGAACAAGAAAAUCUAUAGUAGCCUACAGAAUCUACAGACAACAAAGUGUCCCCAUAUAUUGUUUUGUGGAUUUAAGAGUCAGUAGCUAAUGCUAGAAGGGGUUUCCAAACAACAAACUCUGUAUUCAUACAACCAACCUCAUCUUGUGCCUCUGGCCCUAUUUCUGUCUCCACCCAUCUUUCCACUCUUUCUUUUACAGUAAAAGGGUCAGGGCAAGAGGGUUUUCAGUUGAUAACCAAGUUUGCAUUUCAUAUUCUUGCAUGCCUAAAUAGGGCCCAAUUAGGUCAUAUAAUCUAUUUCCAAAGUUUUGUUCACAAUGUACGUUCAGUUUUGUGCACAAUGUUUCACACAAUGGUUAUAGCUAACAUAAAAAAAAUCCUUAACAGAUAACCGAAAUCACAAGAGAAUCUGCCCCUUCCCAAAGGCCAAGUUAAUACAAACCAUACAUGGGUCAGGUAUUUCACUGUUCAAUGCUGUUAAAUACCUGAGGUGAGUUAGAUUUAGCUUGACCGCUGUGCAGAGUGGGCAGGGUUUGCACCUUCAGGACGACUCCAUUGGCCCCAUUGUACAAGACAAGCUAAGUCAAGCUCAGCUCCAGUGUGUGAAAGUACUUGGAAUGCACUAUGCAUUUGACUCUGGUGUGAUCGUAACUCAUGAGAAACUGACCUUAUCGAUGAAGGACACAAAGCGGUUGUUGAGGGUCUUGAUCUGCUCCUUCUCGUGGGUGCGGACCACCUGGAUGUUGGGGUCGAUCUCCAGGUUCAGGGGGGCCAGUAGGCUCUUGUUCACCUGAACAGCGGUGAUCUGAGGGGGUCCCACACAUGUCAUCUUCCCACCCACCACCCCCAUACCACCCCCCAUUCCCAUACCACCCCCCAUUCCCAUACCACCGCCAACACCCAUGCCCGCAUACCCAAACUCCAUCCCGCCCCCCCUUUGCCCAGUCCCUCCAGCCACGUACCCCCCAACUACCCUAUAGCCACCUGCUGCCACACCCCCGGCGCUGCUGCCAACACCCCCAUAAGAGCUGCGGACGCUGUAGCUCUGUUGUCUAGCUCCGCCGCCAUAGCCGUUGCUGGAGUUGCUGCUGAAGUUUUGAGACCCCAGGCCUGCAGAUGAGGACCUCAAAGAGUAGCUGGUGCUCUUCACAGCUCUGGUGGACAUGAUGACUUAGGUUUUAGCAAGUGCUACAGUAGGUGGUCUGUAGAGCCUGGGAGAUUCGCUGCAGAGAGAGAGAGACUCGUGCAGAUGGAGCUCACUGUUCCCUGGCCCUCUUUUUAUCUGGAAAGGGGAGGGACCGAGGGACAUUAUGAUUGGCUAGCAUGCAGUAGGGGAGCGCAGAAUGGGGGAAUGCUGGAGGUAAUAGAAUAUAAUAAUGUUACACAUUUAUAGCGCACAAAGUGAAUUUGAGAGAGUACAAAACUUACAUAACAGGGAUUGGAGCUGCUUUUCUUUAUUUGCAGAAUUAUGUGCUAUCAUAAUGAUAUUCUGACUAUUCGUAUCAUAAUGUAUUUAUGUUAGAGUCUUAAUGCAGUUGACCAGUGCAGAAUGCAUUCUUUGCAUCAUGAGAAACCUCUUCAAAAUUCCUAAUGAAUUGUACAAAAACAAAGUCCAAUUCUGGGAAUGGGCUCUUGUUAGAUGAUUGCUAUUGAACUUGGUGCUCAGCAUCAUCAUUAACAGUUUGUCACCAUUAACAAUGUACCUUGCUGCAGCAGGCAUUUUGCGUGUGAAAAAAGUAACUUUCUAAUACCCAGAACUGUAUUAGUGAGCUAACAUACAGUAUAUAGUGCAAAGAUAUUCCAUGAGUAAUAUUCUCCCAAAAUCAAGAGGCAUAUUUCAAUAUGACCAAUGAGCAGCCAAGGAAUCUUACACAGACAGACUGCACUUGUAAGCCAGGCCUUCUAUACACCCCCUUUUCCCCUGAACCACGAAAAGCAGUCCAUGACCCGUAUUCAUAAAGUGUCCCAGAGUAGGAAUGCCUUUUAGAUUAUAAUGAAUAAAGAUUAUAUGGACAGGUGUGAUCUGACCCUAGAUCAGCACUCAUUUUAUAGAUACUGGCCAGACAUCUGUACCUGGAAGUCAGAUCCUGUACAAGUUGUCGUUCUUGUACCUGACAAUUUCUUUAAAGUACGGUAUAUACUGUAUCUUUACCUCCGGGCUUCACUUCUUCUAGUGUUGACACUGUGAUUGACUAGAAUAAGACACACACUGUACUUCAAUGGAAAUAAUGUGAUUCGGUUGACUAAUAGUUAGCCGUUAGAGUAGCGGUGUCGACUGUUGACCCAGACAUGAAGCAUGUGUGUGGACGUGGCUGUGUAGGUGUUUUACAGGCUUGUUGCUAAGUAACACAUGUUAACCCAUGGGAAAGGCUUAUCAGAAUUGAACUGCUGGGUUGAAGAGAUAAAUAAUGGCUGUCAAUGCAAUGAACUCAAUAACUCACCCCAAUGAAGUCAGUUGGGGGGAAAUUAUAUAGUAUUUACUUUUUCAUUUAAUUUGUUUGAGUCAUUUUGACUGAUCUGAUCGAGUAGUAAAUCAGCAUUGUUCACUUUAUCCCAAGUAUUGGAAACUUUAACUCCAUUUGUAAACAGUCCCAAAGUUGCACUGUGAAGAGCUUACACCAUUGGAGCCUUAUCUGGCUCACACAUGACCAUAUUUGUCAAAGUGACCAGUGACCUAUUGUUCAACACAUUCAUCACUAAACAAACAAAAACAGCUGUAUUUCUCUAAUCUUAUCGACCUUAAUAACUGACAUAUAUGGGAUAAAAUCUCUCUGGUCCUCUGGGUGAGAAAACACUGCGUUUCUCAUCUAUUGUCAGAGACCUGAAGUCAUUUAAGAGACACCCUUUUGACAUCUGACUCUCUCGCCCCGCAGCCUCCAGAGACGAGAGAUGUUUUGGUUUGUGUGCGUUCGGUCUUCAAAAUGCGACACAUAAAGAUUGGAAUGUGCGGAGAUAAACACGUACAUGCGACGAGCGGGUGAGGGUUGGAGGGGCAGAAGACGACGAUUAGCCGCUGAGAAGAAACAGACCCUCUUUAGAAAAGAGAGAGGUUGACCUCGAGUUGUAUGGGGCUGCUGUUCCCAAUAAUCCUAAGGGCGUGGCGAUAUGGGUUGCAUAAUUGCGCUACAGGCAUCUUCCUGCCACCUACAUCUGUGUCUGAAGUUUAGUCAACACUCGGGCAACGAUUUUAGCAUCCCAUAAAAACAAUUGGACGGGUCCAAGUACGCCUGCCCGUUUGCACCUAGACUGCCACACCCUCUUCAGUUAUGCCGGAUUGGAGUUGCAUGGCUUGAGGCUGGGUCCCCCUAGUGCUCAUUAGGAGUGGACUGUAAUGUGUACGUAAACCACUGUGCAGUUUUUUUUGCCUUGUGAUGAAUCAUAAAUGCAAUAAUGUCAUGCUUUUUGAAUAGGAAAACAAGACCCUUUUCCCAAUGGGAUUCAAUAAAGGUAAGUAAGUAGGUAGUAACUAACGAACUAACUAACUAACUAACUAAGCUUUAUUUUGCAGUCCCUGGUGUGUGAAUGUGUGUGCGUGAAUACUUUCUUAAUUUUCCUAUGCAAGGAUCCUAAUAGAAAAGAGGUGUCAUUCAAAUAACCUUUAUUGUCAUAUUUCUAAAGUAUUUUUUACUAUAUAUUCCUAUGUUCCUAAAGAGUGUGAAGGCUGCAUUUUCAGUGGAAUUGUAUAGACUCAUGAACUGUAAGUCUACAGGGAACAUGUCAAAGGGAUAGUUAUCGGUUUCCUUACCUCGUAAGCCAGGGUUUCCCAACUGGCGGCCCACAGGCUAAAUUUGGCCCAGGAGUGGUUUCAUUUGGCUCCCCAAGUUUUCUGAGCGAAAAAAAGUACAAUAUUAAUUUUCAUUUAUGGACAUUAAGGAAAUCAGAUCCAAGGGAUAUUAAUUUAAGAAAUAUGUUCCCAAUAUUCCCACAUAUAAUAAGAGACACGUGAUCAUAUACAAAUGUAAGCAAGGUUUGAAAUUAUCAUGUUUUAGUCAAACAUAUCUACUUAGGCUUCUUGCGGUAAAUUUGUAGUUUACAAAUGAUUGGUAAUUAUGUUCCGGCCAGCCGACCAUCUGCUCAACAAAGAAUCAACACUCGGAUGAAUCUAGUUGAUGAUCCCUGCUGUAAGCAGUCAAAUAUAAGAUAUUGACUUGCAUUGGUUUUGGUCCACAAAUGCUAAAAGGUUCAACCAAAUCCAAGCAUGAUUGAUGUCAUACGUUGCCCAUAAACUGCUUAUUGGGGAAGGAAACCAUUAUGCAAAUUUGUAUUUGGGUGAACUAUCCCUUUAAGAGACUAUUGUGGUGAUUGACUGCAUUUUCAGUAGAGGGUUUGUGUAUUCAUUGUUAUGUACGUGUCCGUGUUAAAAAGGAGCAUAUUAAUUAAGAGGCCAUGUUGCUGACUAUGCAUUUUCAGUGGUCUGUUACUGUAUUUGUGGACAUGUGUAAAAAGGGAACACACUGGCACUAAGACUCUAAAGAUGGACAUGACAACUCUGAGAGAAAAUGGCCCGUAACUGUCACAUUUCACUCGUGUCUGAUGAGCGACCUUCACAGACCCACAUGGCCACACCUUGCUCGUAAAACUGGAAUUCCCACGGAGAUAUAAGAAUGUAAGCAGGACAUCCAAUAAUGUUCAGGGUCCCAGGGUGUCCAAGGUCUUUAUCUAAGACUCAAACUCCUAAUUUGCUAUAAAGAGAUCAAGAUCCACCCUCCCUUUUCUUACCCUUGCUCCUCAUUUUUUUCCUCCCCCUGGCACAACUCCCAAGUCAUGGGAUUGAGUGAGUAAGUGCCCUACUGACAUAUGACGUUGGCACAACGUUGUAGCACUGCAAUUGUCUUAGCUAGGUAAGCACUCACAGGUUCAGGGGUAACAGAGUGGAAAGUGAGUAAAAAAAGAGGAGAAGAGGAGAAUAAACAAGUAAAAGUUCAUCUGAGAAAGAUCAAGCUGGGAGCUUUCAUUCUCUGACUGUUGUCCAGAAUCCCUGAAGCACAUAAGCUCCUGUUGAGUUUCCCAGAAUCCUGCUGUUAUUGGUAUGAGUCAGAGUCUCAAGUUUCUCAUCAAUUUUUUUUCUCUCUCUCUUUCCCUCUCUCCCCGUUGGCCUCCCUGGACUGACGGUCUCCAGAGCUACUCAGGCCUGGAUUUCUGCACAUGCAGCAGUUUGAAGUGAUUGUACCCUCCGGAAUCAACGUUUGUCAGAUGAGUUCAAAAGAGGUCAAAUGUUGAGUGAGAUAAGUCCACGUCCGAUGCCAUACGUUUUGUAGAUCUACCUGGUAGAAGAUGUAAUAGUAAGUUUGCAGUAUAAAAACUAUUUUACUAUAUUGUUUGGAGAGAAAAAAUGACCACUGCACAAAUACCACUGUGUUGGCACUUGUGAAUUGAGCACUUGAAGUUUAUUAAAGUAAUAUCAAAUGUA